rnacentral:rRNA from 1 species
UGGGGAAUCUUGCACAAUGGGGGAAACCCUGAUGCAGCGACGCCGCGUGAGCGAUGAAGCCUUUCGGGGUGUAAAGCUCUUACGCCAGGGACGAUGAUGACGGUACCUGGAGAAGCAGCUGCGGCUAACUACGUGCCAGCAGCCGCGGUAAUACGUAGGCAGCAAGCGUUGUUCGGAAUUACUGGGCGUAAAGGGUGCGUAGGCGGUGCUCUAAGUUUGGUGUGAAAUCUCCCGGCUUAACUGGGAGGG